GGAGGAAAGCAGGGGAUCGAAAGACCUCGCGUUAUUGGAGCGGCCGAUGCCGGAUUAGCUAGUUGGUGAGGUAAAGGCUCACCAAGGCGACGAUCCGUAGCUGGUCUGAGAGGACGACCAGCCACACUGGGACUGAGACACGGCCCAGACUCCUACGGGAGGCAGCAGUGGGGAAUUUUGGACAAUGGGGGCAACCCUGAUCCAGCCAUGCCGCGUGAGUGAAGAAGGCCUUCGGGUUGUAAAGCUCUUUCGCAAGGAAAGAAGACUUAUCUACUAAUACUAGGUGAGGAUGACGGUACCUUGAUAAGAAGCACCGGCUAACUACGUGCCAGCAGCCGCGGUAAUACGUAGGGUGCGAGCGUUAAUCGGAAUUACUGGGCGUAAAGCGUGCGCAGGCGGUUUCGUAAGCCAGAUGUGAAAUCCCCGGGCUCAACCUGGGAACUGCGUUUGAAACUACAAAGCUAG
rnacentral:rRNA from 1 species